UGGCAACUCUCGUUCGCGGAAACUCUACAAGUUCGCGUGAUUGGUGUGUAUGGAGUGGCCCCGUUGGAAAAAUCUUGUUGCUCGAUAUUAUCUACAUUAACUACAAGUGAUUGAUGCGUCUGAUAAUGUGAUUUAGUCAGAGUGUCUCAAGUUUGUUGAGGGAAAAAUAAAUUAGAGAUGGUUGAAAUUCAGUUUACAGAGUAAACCAUUUCAUUCAUAUCUAAGUUGAUUCGCUGAGCAAAUUGAGAAAUUAUGAGCCAAAUCACAAUAUCAUGCAUACAUCACUGACCUUGUAAGUGUUGUAUUGUAGACUAUUUUGAGCAACGAUGUCUUUCCAACGCCGCCCAUUCCAUAUACACCAAUCACGCUAAUUUGUGGAGUUUCAGCGAACAAAGAGUAUUCA
rnacentral:pre_miRNA from 1 species